GACGAACGCUGGCGGCGUGCUUAACACAUGCAAGUCGAACGAUGAAGCCCAGCUUGCUGGGUGGAAGAGUGGCGAACGGGUGAGUAACACGUGAGUAACCUGCCUAUCACUCUGGGAUAAGCGCUGGAAACGGCGUCUAAUACUGGAUACGACCUAUCACCGCAUGGUGUGUGGGCGGAAAGAUUUAUCGGUGGUAGAUGGACUCGCGGCCUAUCAGCUUGUUGGUGAGGUAAUGGCUCACCAAGGCGACGACGGGUAGCCGGCCUGAGAGGGUGACCGGCCACACUGGGACUGAGACACGGCCCAGACUCCUACGGGAGGCAGCAGUGGGGAAUAUUGCACAAUGGGCGCAAGCCUGAUGCAGCAACGCCGCGUGAGGGACGACGGCCUUCGGGUUGUAAACCUCUUUUAGUAGGGAAGAAGCGAAAGUGACGGUACCUGCAGAAAAAGCACCGGCUAACUACGUGCCAGCAGCCGCCGUAA
rnacentral:rRNA from 1 species